rnacentral:rRNA from 1 species
CCUCCAAGGGACCGUACCCCAAACCGACACAGGUGGUCAGGUAGAGAAUACCAAGGCGCUUGAGAGAACUCGGGUGAAGGAACUAGGCAAAAUGGUACCGUAACUUCGGGAGAAGGUACGCCGCUUGGGGUGAUCGGACUUGCUCCGUGAGCUCCGGGCGGUCGAAGUGACCAGGUGGCUGCGACUGUUUAUUAAAAACACAGCACUCUGCAAACACGAAAGUGGACGUAUAGGGUGUGACGCCUGCCCGGUGCCGGAAGGUUAAUUGAUGGGGUCAGCCGCAAGGCGAAGCUCUUGAUCGAAGCCCCGGUAAACGGCGGCCGUAACGAUAACGGUCCUAAGGUAGCGAAAUUCCUUGUCGGGUAAGUUCCGACCUGCACGAAUGGCGUAACGAUGGCCACACUGUCUCCACCCGAGACUCAGUGAAAUUGAACUCGCUGUGAAGAUGCAGUGUACCCGCGGCUAGACGGAAAGACCCCGUGAACCUUUACUACAGCUUUGCACUGGACUCUGAAUCUGUUUGUGUAGGAUAGGUGGGAGGCUAUGAAGCCGGAACGCUAGUUCUGGUGGAGCCAACCUUGAAAUACCACCCUGACAUAUUUGGGGUUCUAACCCAGGCCCGUUAUCCGGGUCGGGGACAGUGUAUGGUGGGUAGUUUGACUGGGGCGGUCUCCUCCCAAAGAGUAACGGAGGAGCACGAAGGUACCCUCAGCGUGGUCGGAAAUCACGCUUUUGAGUGCAAAGGCAUAAGGGUGCUUGACUGCGAGAGCGACGGCUCGAGCAGGUGCGAGAGCAGGUCUUAGUGAUCCGGUGGUUCUGAAUGGAAGGGCCAUCGCUCAACGGAUAAAAGGUACUCCGGGGAUAACAGGCUGAUACCGCCCAAGAGUUCAUAUCGACGGCGGUGUUUGGCACCUCGAUGUCGGCUCAUCACAUCCUGGGGCUGAAGCCGGUCCCAAGGGUAUGGCUGUUCGCCAUUUAAAGUGGUACGCGAGCUGGGUUUAGAACGUCGUGAGACAGUUCGGUCCCUAUCUGCCGUGGGCGUUGGAGAUUUGAGGAAAGCUGCUCCUAGUACGAGAGGACCGGAGUGGACGAACCUCUGGUGUUCGGGUUGUCACGCCAGUGGCAUUGCCCGGUAGCUACGUUCGGACGGGAUAACCGCUGAAAGCAUCUAAGCGGGAAGCCUCUUCCAAGAUGAGAUCUCCCCGGGGACUCGAUCCCCCUGAAGGGUUGUUCAAGACCAGGACGUUGAUAGGU